AGAGUUUGAUCCUGGCUCAGAUUGAACGCUGGCGGCAUGCCUUACACAUGCAAGUCGAACGGCAGCACGGGAGCUUGCUCCUGGUGGCGAGUGGCGAACGGGUGAGUAAUACAUCGGAACGUACCCAGGAGUGGGGGAUAACGUAGCGAAAGUUACGCUAAUACCGCAUAUUCUGUGAGCAGGAAAGCGGGGGAUCGCAAGACCUCGCGCUCUUGGAGCGGCCGAUGUCGGAUUAGCUAGUUGGUGGGGUAAAAGCUCACCAAGGCGACGAUCCGUAGCAGGUCUGAGAGGAUGAUCUGCCACACUGGGACUGAGACACGGCCCAGACUCCUACGGGAGGCAGCAGUGGGGAAUUUUGGACAAUGGGGGCAACCCUGAUCCAGCCAUGCCGCGUGAGUGAAGAAGGCCUUCGGGUUGUAAAGCUCUUUCGGCGGGGAAGAAAUGGCAACGGCUAAUAUCCGUUGUUGAUGACGGUACCCGCAUAAGAAGCACCGGCUAACUACGUGCCAGCAGCCGCGGUAAUACGUAGGGUGCGAGCGUUAAUCGGAAUUACUGGGCGUAAAGCGUGCGCAGGCGGUUUCGUAAGACAGACGUGAAAUCCCCGGGCUCAACCUGGGAACUGCGUUUGUGACUGCGAGGCUAGAGUACGGCAGAAGGGGGGUAGAAUUCCACGUGUAGCAGUGAAAUGCGUAGAGAUGGGGAGGAAUACCGAUGGCGAAGGCAGCCCCCUGGGCUAGUACUGACGCUCAUGCACGAAAGCGUGGGGAGCAAACAGGAUAAAUACCCUUGGUAGUCCACGCCCUAAACGAUGUCAACUAGGUGUUGGAAGGGUUAAACCUUUUAGUACCGCAGCUAACGCGUGAAGUUGACCGCCUGGGGAGUACGGCCGCAAGGUUAAAACUCAAAUGAAUUGACGG
rnacentral:rRNA from 1 species